CGGGGCGUAGCUCAGCCUGGCUAGAGCGCUUGGUUCGGGACCAAGAGGCCGGAGGUUCGAAUCCUCUCGCCCCGA
rnacentral:tRNA from 1 species